rnacentral:rRNA from 1 species
UACGUAGGGUGCGAGCGUUAAUCGGAAUUACUGGGCGUAAAGCGUGCGCAGGCGGUUUUGUAAGCCAGAUGUGAAAUCCCCGGGCUCAACCUGGGAAUGGCAUUUGGGACUGCAAGGCUGGAGUGUGGCAGAGGAGACUGGAAUUCCUGGUGUAGCAGUGAAAUGCGUAGAUAUCAGGAGGAAUACCGAUGGCGAAGGCAGGUCUCUGUGCUGACACUGACGCUCAUGCACGAAAGCGUGGGGAGCAAACAGG